AUGCCCCAGGGACACCCACUCGCCAUUUCUUCCUACGUUAUAGAGAUGCUUCAGGACUUCUUGCCUCCUGGCCAGCCCUUCAGUGCUUCCUGGAGGGAACACGCUCUCGGAGCCUUGCCACGGGCCAGCCCAGACCAAGGGCUCCAGCCCAGACAGAAAAGCCGGCAUCUGCUCCCUUUCGGCCCCCAGCUCUGUCUGAUGUCCUGUCCUGGGGAUCAGGGGAGGAAGCCCUGCCCACACCUUCGGCACUGCCCAGCCCCUGCGCCAGGGGAGCCGAGGUCCUCCCGCUCCGAAAUCCAUGAAGGAGUGGUGAACUCCUAUAUCCCUUGUAACCCAGCUGAAUAUUUUCCAGGUUACCUAACCAAACUCCUGCAAAACCACACCGCCUAUGCCUGUGACGGGGACCAUUUGAAUCUGCAGUGUCCUCGGCAUUCCACGAUAAGUGUCCAGUCGGCAUUUUAUGGGCAAGAUUACCAAAAGUGUAGUCCGCAGCAGCCUGCCUCCCAGAGGGAAGACAGCCUAACCUGUGUGGUGCCCACCACACUGCAGAAGGUGCUGGACGAGUGUCAGAACCAGCGGGCCUGCCACCUCCUGGUCAAUAGCCGUGUUUUUGGACCUGACCUUUGUCCAGGAAGCAGUAAAUACCUCCUGGUCUCCUUUAAAUGCCAACCUAAUGAGUUAAAAAACAAAACCGUGUGUGAAGACCACGAGCUGAAACUGCACUGCCACGAGUCCAAGUUUCUCAACAUCUACUCUGCGACCUACGGCAGGAGGACCCAGGAGAGGGAUGUCUGCUCCUCGGAAGCUGAGCGGCUCCCCCCCUUUGUUCCCAAGAAUAUACUCAUGGCAAUUGAUCCAUCAGUUGCUAAUAUAAAACCUUCUGUGAAGCAGAAAGAUGGAGACUAUGGUGUAGACCUUGACCCAAGGGAACCGAGGGUUCUGAGGAAAGAUGGUGUGAUUGUCAGCCACUCGUUGGCAGCAUUUGCUUACAUUAGAGCCCAUCCGGAGAGAGCCGCCCUGCUGUUUGUGUCCAGCGUCUGCAUCGGUCUGGCACUCACGUUGUGCGCUUUGGUCACCAGAGUGUCCUGCACCAAGGACUUCCAGGAGCUGCAGCUGGCAAGGGAGCACCUCGUGCCAGGAAGCGACAAGGCUGAGGAGGACAGCCAGGAUGAGGAGGGAGAGGAGGACUCCUCUGACUCCGACUUGCCAGGGGAUCUGUCAGGGUUUGGUAGGACUACAUAUCCUGUCUACAGUUCCAUAGAGGCUGCAGAGCUGGCAGAGAGGAUUGAACGCAGAGAGCAGAUCAUCCAGGAAAUAUGGAUGAACAGUGGCUUGGACACUUCACUCCCAAGAAACAUGGGCCAGUUCUACUGA
rnacentral:lncRNA from 1 species